rnacentral:rRNA from 1 species
UGGGGAAUCUUGGACAAUGGGGGCAACCCUGAUCCAGCCAUGCCGCGUGGGUGCAGAAGGCCUUAGGGUUGUAAAGCCCUUUCAGUCGUGACGAUGAUGACGGUAGCGACAGAAGAAGCCCCGGCUAACUCCGUGCCAGCAGCCGCGGUAAUACGGAGGGGGCAAGCGUUGUUCGGAAUUACUGGGCGUAAAGCGCGCGUAGGCGGACUAUUAAGUCAGGGGUGAAAUCCCGGGGCUCAACCUCGGAAUUGCCUUUGAUACUGGUAGUCUAGAGUCCGUGAGAGGUGAGUGGAACUCCGAGUGUAGAGGUGAAAUUCGUAGAUAUUCGGAAGAACACCAGUGGCGAAGGCGGCUCACUGGCACGGUACUGACGCUGAGGUGCGAAAGCGUGGGGAGCAAACAGGAUUAGAUACCCCCGUAGUCC